ACAGGAUGGUCUGACUGGGGAGAUAAGGCCGUGAACAGAUAGUAAACGUGGGGUCAGCAGUUAGCAGGAAAUGCUUGCAGGAGUCAGAAGGGACAGUGGUCACUUAUUUGCACCACAGGCCGUUGAAAGUUGAGAGCGUCACAGCCAGCUUUACUUUUCCAACGCUUAUCAUGUCCUUUGUGCCUAUUAACUAUCUUCACGACCACCUCGACCACCUCGGUGCCACUAAUUGUCCUCUUUCUCCAGAGGAGGAAGCUGGGUGCAGAGGCGGAAGUUGCUGGAAGUCCCCCAGCUACCUCGGUGGUGGAACCUGUCCUGCCUGUUGCUUUUCCAUUUCACCUUGUGCCUCCGUGCAGGUCCGGUGCUGAGGCGUCCCCUGGUUCCCGGCCUCCGGAAACGCUCCAGGGAAGACUGCAGGCUCCCCAGGCCUGGCCCACGUCCACUGCCUUGGGCAUCUGAGAAGCUGUCUUCCGAAAACGGAGCCUCCAGGAACCCACGGACAGGCGGAGAGUUUCAUCUUGGUUGUGCCCGGGGCCUCUUUUCACCACAAAGAACCCCCUGCGGACGGACGGUCUCAAAAUGCAUUUCAAAGAAGAAACACCAAAACAGGGUGAAGAAACUGUAGGAGAAACAACACGAUCGCUAUUUGCAAAGCGCUGGUGGGUCUUCGAGUCUCGCCCAGGCCUCCCGCUCACACCUUCUCUUGGAGAAGAGCAUAAAGGCCCAGAAGAGGCGCUGAGGUCAGUUUUGGGGAUGGACGCAGAUGGGGCGUCCCAGUUCCGUGUUCUCUGCCCUGCAUCCACACCCCCACCCUGCACUGCUGGGUGCUUUGUGCUCGGAAGCUCAGAGGACAACCCCAAGCACACUGGACGGCCGCCCUGAUGAGGCCGCUGUGUCUCCGGCAUCUUGGAAACGCGAUCCGAGUGAAAGAUUCGCCUCUUGAUUUCAUAAAUGAAAUGCAGUCAGUUGCAUUUGACAGGGA